AGGAUACUAUAGAUCUGAGGAUCUCCAGGGAAUCCUGAAGCCUACCCACUCCGGCCUGCAGAAGCAUGAGACACACAGCUUUCCUCUUUCUCUGCUGGGGACCCUGGUCUAUGCCAUAUCCCAUGAGGCAUCAGCUGCCAUAAAGGAAAAUGAAACAACUAUGGGGCUUGCCACAAAGAUGCCUCAACACUCCAGAAG